rnacentral:rRNA from 1 species
GAUGAACGCUGGCGGCGUGCCUAAUACAUGCAAGUCGAACGGAGAGAUUGUAGCAAUACGGUCUCUUAGUGGCGAACGGGUGAGUAACGCGUUGGUGACCUGCCCCGAAGAGGGGGAUAACAGUCCGAAAGGAUUGCUAAUACCCCAUACGGUCUUAGAGAUUAGAAGCUUUAAGACCAAAGGAGAAAUUCGCUUCGGGGAGGGGCCUGCGUCCCAUCAGCUAGUUGGUAAGGUAACGGCUUACCAAGGCGACGACGGGUAGGGGACCUGAGAGGGUCGGCCCCCCACAAUGGAACUGAAACACGGUCCAUACACCUACGGGUGGCUG